CCUACGGGAGGCAGCAGUAGGGAAUCUUCCGCAAUGGACGAAAGUCUGACGGAGCAACGCCGCGUGAGUGAAGAAGGUUUUCGGAUCGUAAAACUCUGUUGUCAGGGAAGAACAAGUACGGGAGUAACUGCCCGUACCUUGACGGUACCUGGCCAGAAAGCCACGGCUAACUACGUGCCAGCAGCCGCGGUAAUACGUAGGUGGCAAGCGUUGUCCGGAAUUAUUGGGCGUAAAGCGCGCGCAGGCGGCCUUUUAAGUCUGAUGUGAAAGCCCCCGGCUCAACCGGGGAGGGUCAUUGGAAACUGGAAGGCUUGAGUGCAGAAGAGAAGAGCGGAAUUCCACGUGUAGCGGUGAAAUGCGUAGAGAUGUGGAGGAACACCAGUGGCGAAGGCGGCUCUUUGGUCUGUAACUGACGCUGAGGCGCGAAAGCGUGGGGAGCAAACAGGAUUAGAUACCCUGGUAGUCCACGCCGUAAACGNUGAGUGNUAGUGGUUGGGGGUUUCCGGUCCCGUCCACGUGUCUGCGAGCUACGCAUAAGUCGACGUCCGCCGUCGGGGUAGGUACCGGCCGGCCGAACGGCGUAGUAAACGUUAAAAGGUUAAAGUUAGUUACGGUUCGUGAGGACGUUGCCGACGGACGACGACGAGGGGAGGAGG
rnacentral:rRNA from 1 species